GGGAGGUGCAGCGUGAGGUAAUACAGUAGGGGGAGGUGCAGCGUGAGGUAAUACAGUAGGGGGAGGUGCAGCGUGAGGUAAUACAGUAGGGGGAGGUGCAGCGUGAGGUAAUACAGUAGGGGGAGGUGCAGCGUGAGGUAAUACAGUAGGGGGAGGUGCAGCGUGAGAUAAUACAGUAGGGGGAGGUGCAGCGUGAGAUAAUACAGUAGGGGGAGGUGCAGUGUGAGGUAAUACAGUAGGGGUGCAGCGUGAGGUAAUACAGUAGGGGAGGUGCAGCGUGAGGUAAUACAGUAGGGGAGGUGCAGCGUGAGAUAAUACAGUAGAGGGAGGUGCAGCGUGAGGUAAUACAGUAGGGGAGGUGCAGAGUGAGGUAAUACAGUAGGGGGAGGUGCAGCCUGAGGUAAUACAGUAGGGGAGGUGCAGCGUGAGGUAAUACAGUAGGGGAGGUGCAGCGUGAGGUAAUACAGUAGGGGGAGGUGCAGCGUGAGGUAAUACAGUAGGGGGAGGUGCAGCGUGAGGUAAUACAGUAGGGGGAG
ensembl:lncRNA